UCUGUAGGUGGUCAAAUAAGUCAACUGUUAAAUCUUGAGGCUCAACCUCAAAAUGGCAGUCGAAACUAUUAGACUAGAGUAUAGUAGGGGUAAAGGGAAUUUCCAGUGGAGCGGUGAAAUGCGUAGAGAUUGGAAAGAACACCGAUGGCGAAGGCACUUUACUGGGCUAUUACUAACACUCAGAGACGAAAGCUAGGGUAGCAAAUGGGAUUAGAUACCCCAGUAGUCCUAGCUGUAAACAAUGGAUACUAGAUGUUGAACAGAUCGACCUGUGCAGUAUUAAAGCUAACGCGUUAAGUAUCCCGCCUGGGAAGUAUGCUCGCAAGAGUGAA
rnacentral:rRNA from 1 species